ensembl:lncRNA
AAUGCUGUUCGCCCCCUGCUACGCACUGGGUAAUCUUGGCUCAUUUAUGAUGUCUUUAUACAUAUACUCCUCUACAAAUACGUGUACAUCUUUUGAUUUCCAGCGCUGCUUGCUCCUUACCUGCGUUGGGUCCCUGUUACUGGCAAUAUAUGGUGCACAAACCCUAAGACUCCUCAUCCGGCUUCAUCGCUCCAUCGCUCCAGCCGUUUGUGACGUCUAUAUGAUCCCCGCUGGAUUGCAUGCAGCUCUCUCCAGCACAUCACACGAAGGCUUCAUGCAUUGAAGAUAACCGUACAUUAAGACCUCCACUCUCGCCCAACGAUGCCUCCCGCCUGCCUGAUCGCCAUGGUAACCGUUAUUGAUGGCACACAGUGAAACUAGGAUGAGCAUAUCCUCCAAUAAAAGCUAACCAGGCAGCCCAAUCAUCCACCUAAAUUAACCAGGCAGCCCAAGCCUCCACCUCGGCUAACCAGGGAGCAAAAGCCUCCACCCCAGCUAACCAGGUAGCCCAAACCUCCCCUUCGGCUAACCAGGGGGGCAAAAGCCUCGACUCCGGCUAACCAGGUAGCCCAAACCUUCCCUCCAGCAAAC